CAGUCGCCGCGGGAAUACAGAGGGUGCAAGCGUUAAUCGGAAUUACUGGGCGUAAAGCGCGCGUAGGUGGUUUGUUAAGUUGGAUGUGGAAUCCCCGGGCUCAACCUGGGAACUGCCUUUGUGACUGCAAGGCUAGAGUACGGCAGAGGGGGAUGGAAUUCCGUGUGUAGCAGUGAAAUGCGUAGAUAUGCGGAGGAACACCGAUGGCGAAGGCAAUCCCCUGGGCCUGUACUGACGCUCAUGCACGAAAGCGUGGGGAGCAAACAGGAUUAGAUACCCCCGUAGUCCCUGUCUCUUAUAC
rnacentral:rRNA from 1 species